CUUGAAGAAAAUUCGGCCAGCCACUCAUGACCGAUUCUGGACCUUGUUUUAGUUCAAACAACGUUAAACGUCGGGUCCUCAAAUGCUCUGCUCAACACGGUUGAAAGUAAAAGAUACUCCAUUUAGUAGGCCAUAUUUCAUUAUACGUGACCAGAGAGUAAUACAGGAAAUGGCGAAUUUGCUGCAUACGUGCUGUUUGAGGAGCAAAGAACCACUAGAUGGAAGCAGAGUUUAAGAUCGAUGGCUGAAAAGAUACUACAGGAGAUGUUUGGGGCAUAACCUCUGUCAGCCAGGGUGAAGGAUGGGUCUAUCACAAACCACUUUGGAAAAACUCUGCAUUCAAAUCCUAGUUUCUUCAGCUUGUUUCUUGGAUGUUGAUACUGUAGGUUCAGGUGUGAGUGUGAGUGUGAGUGUGUGUGUGUGUGAGAGUGUGUGUGUGUGUGUGGUUGGCAGUUUUGAAGCGAGAGCACGACCUGCACUGACGUACAGACGAAUGCAAGCCGCGGGGAGACGGACAGAGAGACGGUGCGACCGAAGGCGUUCUCGAAUCUCUCUCACGACAUUCACGAAGCCUCCAAGUACAAGCUUUUGUACUGCUGAUCAGUCUUUUUUUUUCUUUUUUUUUAUAAUCCAAUGUCAAUGAAACAUAUUCUUGUACAGGUAAUGGUACUCUAUUUACACAGCCUUAAGUCUGAUGAAUGAUGCUCUCAGUUUGGGCUUUUCUGAUCAACCUGGAUUUGGUUCUUCUUCUUCUUCUUCUUCCUUUUUAAAGCUGUGGUAUCACACUAACGUCAAGCGACUCUUGAGGAGUUUCUUUCUCUAAAAUAAGAUAUCCAACAUGACAGAAAGCAAUUGGAAUACUGCCUGAUAGAUGUGAUGCAGUGAAACUGUUGUAAAUUGGAUUUAGUGUACUGGAAUGUAAAGAUGCUGUACAUGAUCUCUAUAUAUGUUAAAGAACCUGAGAACUGUUGCUUCAAAACGACGUUUUUCUCGAUAAGAUUUAACAUUACGACUGAAUAAGCAACAGUGAAACUCUAAAACGUUUUAGGUACAAAAACUCAAAGUAAUCUGCUUCAUCGGGACUGUAGGUGUGUGAACUGUAACCAUGCAACCCAUCAGCUGUCGGCAGAUUCUGUUUCAGAUGUUCCUUGAUCCUGACUGGUGCACGAAAGUCAUGCGUCAUACUUCAACCUGUGAGGAAAACACACAGAUGUUUCAUGUUGAUGUAAGAAGUUUUCAGGGCUUUUAAACCUCCACAGACAGUUGACUCUACUAACAAAGAAGCCAGAAGUAAAUUUACAUGCACACAAUAUUCUGAUCUCCAGGUAAUCAUCUGAGGGCAAUACUUUCUGUAUUAUACUAUAGUUUAUACACAUGGAUGGUUUGAUUCUGAAGAAUUUGUCUUGAGGAAACAACCAAACGUUUGAGCAGCAGCGGAAAAAAUAAAUUGUAGUGCAAAUAAAAGAACGACAAAAAACUUAGCUUAGCACAAAGACUGGAAACCGGGGGAAACUGCUAGAGUGUCUGCCAAAAAGGAAAAAAGGGAGAUUUGAAGCUCCCUAAUUUAAAACUCUGUGUCUCAGUUGUUUAUCUGAACGAAACCCAAAUUGUAAAAGAGACAAGUUGUGGGUUUAGGAGGGACUUUUUCUUGGUGGGGAGCAGCGAUUUCCUCAGGUCUUAUAUUGAGAUUUCUGCUCCUGACCAUGAAUUAGUCCAGCACUUUACCCCGGUUUUCAGUCUUGAUGUUGACUUCCUGGUUUAAAUGGACAAAGGGUCAGAAAAUUUAACGACAUUUUUUUAAAAAAGAAAAUUGUCAAAAAAAAAAAUAGCUGAUAUUCCUAUAAUGAGAUAAGCUCCAUAAAACUCUGGAAUCUAAGAUUUGGUCACGGUUUUCAAGGAGAGACAAAGUCCCUCAUCCAUGGGACCUUAUUUCAGAAAUAAUCUGUAUUCUGGUUAAUGGCGAAAGACAAAAGAUUUAAACUUUAAAGAUCAUUUUGGAAGUCAAAAAAGGUAGCAGUUUGUUGUAAUGUUUGCGAAACAACUCUGCGAGCUACAUCUCUUGUCACCAACAUGGCCGUCAACUUGGCCCAGAAAAAGUUUUAAAUAACUAAAACGCCAUUACAAGUCUAGUGAGGUUGACAGCUAUGCGAAACUGAAGUUUUUCAAGUUGGGUAGCAUGCAGCAUCGACUCAACAAGGUUUUGGUUAUCAGUUUUUGUGCGCAUUGCUGCAGUAGCCGCUAACUGUAGUUGUCAUUAGCUAGCUAGCUCAGUUAGCCGGGCAGUUAGCAGUCUGUAAUGGGAGCUCCAGGAGAGUGUUGUUGCUUACAUCACUAGUACAGGAACUUAGAACUGAGAUGGGUUAAGGCUAGCUGGUUAGCAUGCUAACUUCUAUAGAUACACAUAACGUAUUGCACCUUUAAAUUGAUAAACGUGUGUUUUAAGAAACAGAAUCAAUUUGAUUUUAUUUCAAGAUAAUUUGUCCCUCGCCAUGAACCAUUGUGCAAGAUUUUAUGUAUUUCCAUGUUGUAAAAUUGGUGGAGUGACCCUUUAACCGGGUAAGGCCGCCCUUGAUAAUGACUUCAGGUGUUCAGACGAUAGUCUCAACAGUGAUCGUAUAUUGCCUUAACUUGCUUUAUCAGGUAAGUUGUGUGCAUUUAGAUCUACUUUAUUCAUCUCUAAAUUCUCAUGUAUUUAAUUGUUGUUUGAUGCUUUAUCAAUAUCGAUGUGUUGACUUAGCCACACUGCUUGAAUGGCAUGUCGUAGAUUAGCUGACGAAUAACCAAAUUUUUUAAUUAUCGAAAAACGACCACGAUCGGGUGAGUCACACGUGAAUGCAUCUAAAGAAUUGCUCCCCCACCGUUCACGCCCUUCUUGUUUUUUUUUUGUUUUUUUUUUAGUCCCGUGGUUUAACGGUGGAUGGUGAAAAUACCUGCUUGAUGAUUGCAAAGUCUCUCUGUUCACACUGAUUGCAGCAAGUAUACUGCUCCUGUGUCUGCAUUACUUCAAUUUAUAAGUGUCUGUCAUGAAGAGCUUUUAACCAAAUUUGCUUGUUUUGUAAUGCAAAUAAAUAUUAUUUUCUUUGAAUGCGUCUUUCUCCCCCAUCUCGCGCUUGAACUGCUCUGAUUUUUAGAGCCACUUUUGUACAGACGUCAAGUGUUGGAUCAGUGUUUUCUCUUUCCUUUCCUUUGCAUCUACUAUACUGUGAUGUACAUACAAUGUAAUAUUUCUCCCCCCUCGACUAAACCGCCACCUCACAUUCUCAAAGCGUCCCCCCAGUCAGAAAGAGGAAAUCCACCCCGCCAUCGAUAAGCUACUCCCCUCCACGUCUCGGUGCCUUAUGCAAACUCUUUCUGUGUCUUCCAGCGAAGGAGCACAGCGUUUUCAUCAGUUACUUACCUGACAGAUGCAACAGCGUAUGUAUUGUUUGUGUGGUUGCGUGUGCUUUCUUUUGAGACUCCGUGCUUGAUGUUGAGAGCUAAGCACUUUCAUUCUAGGUUUUGGCAUUUUCUUGUUUUGUUUUGUUUUGGUUUUUUUUGAUUCUACUGGUUGUCUUGCUGACCUAUGAAAUGCACUGACAUUGAAGGAAACCUGAUGUUGUAGAAAAAAUGGACGUGUGAUGAUAUUAAUCAAAUAAAUUACAUAUCGGUUGUAUGCUGUGUUACAAGUUUUGUUCUCCAGCAAACUAAACUAAACCAUCGUAGUUACUGGCUCCUCUACUCUGGGAGAAAUGGUUAAUGAAAGUGCACAAAGAAGGAUGUUGCUCCGUGGACAUGUUUGGAAAAUGUACACCAACAGAAGAUCAGAUUUGACAGAAUAAUGCGUGUUAGCAACAGCUGUACGUACAUUUAUUCCACUUCUGUGAACGUAACUUUUUUGGCACUAACCUCGACUUGGAAUCAAGAAUGCACUCGUAAGAUUUUGGUGGUCAAGGGUCAACAACGUGUUGUUUGAAUUAAUUUGCUAACAGGAACCUCCGCCAGGGUCCAACAGUCCACUUUACUUCAAUCAAGCUUAUGUUUAACCAACACUAUGUAACUUUUAAAGUCAUUCUGAAGAAGAUGGUUCAUUGUUGAGUCCCAUUCCCUGAUUGCCAAAUAAGACUUUUGGACCCAACUUGGUAUUUAUCAUUAAAAUGUGGGCACCCCAAAAUGAAAAGAUCGUAAUGUCCUGGAUCUCUCUCUGCAUGCAGAUCUGAACCAGAAGUUAAUGGGGUCAGAAAACAUGUGACUGGCAUGUCGUACUUCUGAACUGAUAAAUCUCUUGUUAAGAGUCCAUGUAGUCCAUCUUAGUUGUUGCUGGGAAACUGGAGACUGACUGAUUCGACUCUCAGUGGCUCUCAUUCCUGCUCCACAUUUUUAAUAUUUAUUGUGUUUUCAGUUGCUGAUCAAUCAGUCAGUCAUCAAUCGGAUUCACUUGCUUGUAGGGUAACAACCUAGGUUUUUUUUUGUGAAUAUACUCGAGUCAAACUUUCAUGUAAAAGCAUGAAAAACACUUUUUUUUUUUUCACCAUAUUGUCGUGUCAAAAUCAUUUUCAGUGGGAGUGCUAGGGGCACUUUUACAAUAGCAUCAAUAGCACAUGAACACGAACACUGAACAAGCUGCUGCUAACGUGAGUCAUUGGAAAACUUUCUUUUUAGUAAACUCUGUGUGCACAAACAAUGUUCUCGAUGCUCAUGUUCAUGUGAUACUGGUGAUACUACGAGCAAAGUUUCUUGUGUCGAGCCAUAUAGUGUUUUGAAAGUAUCGAUCGUAAAAGUGCCCCAUGCACUCCCACUGAAAAUGAGGUUGACCCGAAAACGAAUAUACGGUCAUUCUUAAAAAAAAAAAAAAAAAAAGCGCCUCUGUUGUUGUAAUUAUGCUUUUACA